rnacentral:rRNA from 1 species
GGACUUUCAAAAAAAUUCUUUUUUGAAAUUAAAAAUUGAAGUUAUUUUUAUUUGUGAAGAAACAAUAAUAAAAAUUAGGGACAAGAAGACCCUAUGAAUUUUAAUUUUCUUAUAUUUUGAUUCAAAAUAUAAGAAAAUUUAAUUGGGGCGAUUGAAAAAAAUUAAAAUCUUUUUUUUAAUAAAAAAUGAUCCAUUAAUAAUGAUUUUAUGAAAAAAAUACUCUAGGGAUAACAGCGUAAUAAUUUUAGAUAGAUCGUAUAGAAAAAAUAGUUUGCGACCUCGAUGUUGGAUUAGGAUUCUUAUUUAAUGAAGAAGUUAAAAAAAGAAGUUUGUUCAACUUUUAAAUUCCUACAGUGAUCUGAGUUCAGACCGGA